UCGCUUGCUGGGGGGAUAGUGGCGAACGGGUGAGUAACACGUGAGUAACCUGCCCUUGACUCUGGGAUAAGCCUGGGAAACUGGGUCUAAUACCGGAUAUGACUGCUCCGCGCAUGCGGUGGUGGUGGAAAGCUUUUGCGGUUUUGGAUGGACUCGCGGCCUAUCAGCUUGUUGGUGGGGUAAUGGCCUACCAAGGCGACGACGGGUAGCCGGCCUGAGAGGGUGACCGGCCACACUGGGACUGAGACACGGCCCAGACUCCUACGGGAGGCAGCAGUGGGGAAUAUUGCACAAUGGGCGAAAGCCUGAUGCAGCGACGCCGCGUGAGGGAUGACGGCCUUCGGGUUGUAAACCUCUUUCAGUAGGGAAGAAGCGUAAGUGACGGUACCUGCAGAAGAAGCGCCGGCUAACUACGUGCCAGCAGCCGCGGUAAUACGUAGGGCGCAAGCGUUAUCCGGAAUUAUUGGGCGUAAAGAGCUCGUAGGCGGUUUGUCGCGUCUGCUGUGAAAGACCGGGGCUCAACUCCGGUUCUGCAGUGGGUACGGGCAGACUAGAGUGAUGUAGGGGAGACUGGAAUUCCUGGUGUAGCGGUGAAAUGCGCAGAUAUCAGGAGGAACACCGAUGGCGAAGGCAGGUCUCUGGGCAUUAACUGACGCUGAGGAGCGAAAGCAUGGGGAGCGAACAGGAUUAGAUACCCUGGUAGUCCAUGCCGUAAACGUUGGGCACUAGGUGUGGGGGACAUUCCACGUUUUCCGCGCCGUAGCUAACGCAUUAAGUGCCCCGCCUGGGGAGUACGGCCGCAAGGCUAAAACUCAAAGGAAUUGACGGGGGCCCGCACAAGCGGCGGAGCAUGCGGAUUAAUUCGAUGCAACGCGAAGAACCUUACCAAGGCUUGACAUGAACUAGUAAAGCGCAGAAAUGUGUUCCCCUCUUGAGGCUGGUUUACAGGUGGUGCAUGGUUGUCGUCAGCUCGUGUCGUGAGAUGUGGUAGA
rnacentral:rRNA from 1 species